CAAUGCUGUCCGAUUAUUCUGCAAAUUGUUUUCGAAUUCGUUUCUACGUUUCCAUUUUCCAGAUUGUUAAAUAUUUCGUUUGCAAUAGAAAUCAAGUGAAAUGAAAAUAAUUAAACAAUAUGUAAAAGUGAGUAAAGCAAGUUCUGUCCUUGGUAGACUUUGGAAAACAUCAAGUGAAACAAUGGAAAGAUUUUACAGGCAGUCUCAUUUCAAAAGGAUCGGUUUGUAGCAACUGCCAAUUGAUCCAACAACACUCAGAGAAACUCAACUCCUCCAACGUCCAGGCAGUAGUGUGAAUAAUACAAACAUGUCCGAGGAUGUGUGGCUGGAGUGUGAUGACGAAGUCAUUCGUGUACUGCGUAUGCGGGAACUCGAGGAUCUACUAAGUCGUAAAUCACGAACUUCUGCCCUUACACCAUACCUUUUGUUUUAUGUUCAGAUAAACCAAUCUGGAGCUAAUGUGAAGUAGUCCCUGAACAAAGUGUUAUGAGCCAGUUGAAAAUUCAUUUAUUGCUUGCACAUUUCUUUAUAUUAGUUUUUUGCUAUGAUUUUUCCACCUUGCUUU